AUUUGAAAAAGUGGUUUGAUUCAUCACGAAGGUCUGGAAAACCCCGAGAUGGACGGAGGCUCCACCUCUCUAUGGGCUCUCGCUUGGAGCUUCCCCUUGAGGAUCCAUGGGGGAUGGGGGCCGGCAUCUCCAGGGCCCACGCUGAGGCCAUGGCUCGAUGGAGGUGGCUUCUUAGUGGGGCUGAGGCCCCCGGGGUGCAUUGCUCUGAGAAAUGCCGGGCAUCAGCAAACCCGGUCCCUCCUGGCUGGCCAGAGCAAAAGGCUUCUCUUUUUCUCCUUUAACCAGAGAAGAAGGUUCCAUUCCAUGUGGCGCUGUGGCUCUUGGUGGCUGUUACAAAGCCAUUUCCUAUCUUCUGAAGUCUAAGUAAGGAAGAGCAGGGGUUUAAGAAGACCUGAGUCUACAGCCAAGCUUGUCCCGGUUUGCUGGGUGGUGGAGGCCCAUGUGGGCUGUGCUUCUGGCAUGUUCUCCCAAGCCACAGUGGGAACAGGACCUGGCCGUGGGAGUUGGGAGCCAUGGAGGACAUGUUCCACUGGUCUAGAAGCCGAAUCGAGUGCUGUGACAUUGUAUCCUGACCCACAGCAAAAGGAGUUGGCUCAAAUAAGAAUAUUGAUACCGUCUCCUAAAUCUUCCCAUUUCAAUAGCUUAAGUUGGGCUGGUUGGGGUUGGAUUGGUCAGUUCCUGAUGCAGAGCAAAUGACAGACCUUUCAAGACUGUUUUCUGAUUCUGCCAAGUGACCGUAAGAGAGGGCAGAGGAAACAGCAGGUGAACCUGAGAUGCUUCCAGGGGCAGGAGAUGUUGGUGGCCUGUGGCCUGAGCAGGAUGUGUCUUCCCUGAAUGACAGGCCUAUGAUCCCAUUAACAUAGAAGCAGAAAAUAAAAAAUUAAGACACUU
rnacentral:lncRNA from 1 species